rnacentral:rRNA from 1 species
GAUGAACGCUGGCGGCGUGCCUAACACAUGCAAGUCGAGCGGAGAUAAGAGGAGUACUUGUACGGAUUUUAUCUUAGCGGCGGACGGGUGAGUAACACGUGAGUAACCUGCCUUUUACUGGGGAAUAACAUCGAGAAAUCGGUGCUAAUACCGCAUAAUGUCACGAGGCUGCAUGGCCAUGUGACCAAAGGUGCAAUUCGGUAAAAGAUGGACUCGCGUCCGAUUAGGUAGUUGGUGAGGUAACGGCCCACCAAGCCUACGAUCGGUAGCCGAACUGAGAGGUUGAUCGGCCACAUUGGGACUGAGACACGGCCCAGACUCCUACGGGAGGCAGCAGUGGGGAAUAUUGGGCAAUGGGGGAAACCCUGACCCAGCAACGCCGCGUGAAGGAUGAAGGUCUUCGGAUUGUAAACUUCUUUGAUCAGGGACGAAGAAAUGACGGUACCUGAAGAACAAGCCACGGCUAACUACGUGCCAGCAGCCGCAGUAA